CAGUCGCCGCGGUAAUACGUAGGUGGCAAGCGUUGUCCGGAAUUAUUGGGCGUAAAGGGCUCGCAGGCGGUUUCUUAAGUCUGAUGUGAAAGCCCCCGGCUCAACCGGGGAGGGUCAUUGGAAACUGGGAAACUUGAGUGCAGAAGAGGAGAGUGGAAUUCCACGUGUAGCGGUGAAAUGUGUAGAGAUGUGGAGGAACACCAGUGGCGAAGGCGACUCUCUGGUCUGUAACUGACGCUGAGGAGCGAAAGCGUGGGGAGCGAACAGGAUUAGAUACCCCUGUAGUCCCUGUCUCUUAUAC
rnacentral:rRNA from 1 species